UACAGAGGGUGCAAGCGUUAAUCGGAAUUACUGGGCGUAAAGCGUGCGUAGACGGUUAUGUAAGUCGGGUGUGAAAGCCCCGGGCUCAACCUGGGAAUUGCAUUCGAGACUGUGUAGCUAGGGUACGGAAGAGGGAAGCGGAAUUUCAGGUGUAGCGGUGGAAUGCGUAGAUAUCUGGAGGAAUACCGGUGGCGAAGGCGGCAUCCUGGACCGACAUUGACGCUGAGGAGCGAAAGCUAGGGGAGCAAACGGG
rnacentral:rRNA from 1 species